rnacentral:rRNA from 1 species
GACGAACGCUGGCGGCGGGCUUAACACAUGCAAGUCGAACGGCAAGGCCCUGCUUUUGUGGUGUGCUCGAGUGGCGAACGGGUGAGUAACACGUGAGUAACCUGCCCUUGACUUUGGGAUAACUUCACGAAACGGGGGCUAAUACCGUAUAGGAUAUCCUGCUGCAUUGUGGGGGGUGGAAAGUUUCGGCCUGUGGGGAUGGACUGGCGGCUGAUCAGCUUGUUAGUUGGGUAGUGGCUUACCAAGGCAGUGACGGAUAGCCGGCAUGAGAGGGUGAACGGGCACAAUGGGACUGCGAGACGGCGCAGACUGCUAUGGGAGGCAACAGGGGGGAACAUGACACAGCGGGAGCGAGUCUGAUGCGAAAACGCCCCGUGCGGGAAGACGGUUUGUGGGUAGAAAAAAGCUUUAGCCUGUGACGCCGCGGGACUGACGGUAACGGAUAAAGAAGCACCGGCUAACUACGUG